CUCUUCUUGCCAUGUACCCACAUGAUUGAGUGUGGGCUGAGGGUGAAUCCAAGAAGGGCUUUGUUUUGUGGUCAGUACAGGCUUUGGUCCACAGAGACAACAAUACUUUCAAUACUCUUUUGUUCUGCCCCAGGGGAGCUCAACACAGAAUUGCCUAGAACAAGAAACUGGAAUUGUACAUGGCGAUCAUCAGCAGUAUGAAGAGGAGCUGUGGGGCCAGGGAUGAUCCUUCCAAAAGCAUCCUAUCUAGAUUCUGCUGUUAAAUCACCUUUGUUGGCCUG
rnacentral:lncRNA from 1 species